CGCACACUGAUGCAUAGAGGAACUAGGUAGAUGUGUACAUACUUUAGCGCAGUUAACAAUUUAUUCUGCUUUUUAGGUAUUGUAAAACUCACUUUGUUAGUUUUCAGUUGAAUGUAGCAUAUCCUACCAGUGGAACUUAAACUACACAAGACUUUUGAUUAUUUUGGAAGCACAAUUAUUUCCGUCAUAAUUGCACAAGUGUGUUGACUGAUUUUUUUUAAAAAAAGGAGGAGCCUCUGCAUCAGGUCGAUGCAUGUGGCCACUAAGUGUGUUGACUGAUGUUUGGCUCUAAAUGAAAGCAUUGGAAAUGUUUAUUGUCAAAGUACCUCCCUUUGUUGUUUUACCUCUCUGUAGUUACUUCAUGUUGGUUUUUAGUUGAAAAUAACAAAAUUGAAAUAUGUGAUGUUUUUAAAGACUUCAUCUCAUUGCAAUAUGUUUAUCUCUACAAAUUUCCAUGUUCAUAUUGUUCCAGUCAAAUCAAUUGCGUAAAUCUUUCCAUGUACAUUGGCUUUGUCAGGAAAGGAAGCAUAUUGCUUGCGAGUCUUCUUCCAAAUUCAUCGAUAUGUUUGUGGCACUGUCCAAUAGCCUACAGUGGUAUGCCAACAAAGCCCAAAAACUAUUUUAUAUGCGUAGCUAAUUGCUUAUUGCUGUGCUAAAGUCUUGUUGAAUUUAAACAAAUGUUGAAUGAAC
rnacentral:lncRNA from 1 species